UACGGAGGGUGCAAGCGUUAAUCGGAAUUACUGGGCGUAAAGCGUGCGUAGGCGGUUCGUUAAGUCUGUUGUGAAAGCCCCGGGCUCAACCUGGGAAUGGCAAUGGAUACUGGCGAGCUAGAGUGUGUCAGAGGAUGGUGGAAUUCCCGGGUGUAGCGGUGAAAUGCGUAGAGAUCGGGAGGAACAUCAGUGGCGAAGGCGGCCAUCUGGGACAACACUGACGCUGAGGCACGAAAGCGUGGGGAGCAAACAGGG
rnacentral:rRNA from 1 species